rnacentral:rRNA from 1 species
AUUGAACGCUGGCGGCAUGCCUUACACAUGCAAGUCGAACGGCAGCACGGGUGCUUGCACCUGUUGGCGAGUGGCGAACGGGUGAGUAAUACAUCGGAACAUGUCCUGUAGUGGGGGAUAGCCCGGCGAAAGCCGGAUUAAUACCGCAUACGAUCCACGGAUGAAAGCGGGGGACCUUCGGGCCUCGCGCUAUAGGGUUGGCCGAUGGCUGAUUAGCUAGUUGGUGGGGUAAAGUCCUACCAAGGCGACGAUCAGUAUCUGGUCUGAGAGGACGACCAGCCACACUGGGACUGAGACACGGCCCAGACUCCUACGGGAGGCAGCAGUGGGGAAUUUUGGACAAUGGGCGAAAGCCUGAUCCAGCAAUGCCGCGUGUGUGAAGAAGGCCUUCGGGUUGUAAAGCACUUUUGUCCGGAAAGAAAUCCUUGACUCUAAUACAGUCGGGGGAUGACGGUACCGGAAGAAUAAGCACCGGCUAACUACGUG